AGGACGAACGCUGGCGGCGUGCCUAACACAUGCAAGUCGAACGAGGUUAAUCCGGUAGCAAUACUGGUGACUGCCUAGUGGCGAACGGGUGAGUAGCACGUGAGCAACCUGCCCCGAAGACCGGGACAACACCGGGAAACCGGUGCUAAUACCGGAUACCCCCACCUAAUCGCAUGAUCUGGUGAGGAAAUGGAUUCCGCUUCGGGAGGGCUCGCGGCCUAUCAGCUAGUUGGUGAGGUAACGGCUCACCAAGGCUUCGACGGGUAGCUGGUCUGAGAGGACGAUCAGCCACACUGGGACUGAGACACGGCCCAGACUCCUACGGGAGGCAGCAGUGGGGAAUCUUGCACAAUGGGCGAAAGCCUGAUGCAGCAACGCCGCGUGAGGGACGAAGGCUUUCUGAGUUGUAAACCUCUUUCAGCAGGGACGAGUUGUGACGGUACCUGCAGAAGAACGCCCGGACCAACGUACGCGCCAGCAGCCGCGGUA
rnacentral:rRNA from 1 species